UGUUUGUUGUCCAGAGAUGUCCCCAUGUGUGUGUGUUGGCCCAGGCUGUGGUCUUCUCUCAUGGUCUCUUCCUGUUUUUCUCUUCCAUUCAUACCUUCCCUUUCCCCAUCUCACAUCAGCCUCCUUUUUCUCUCUCUCUUUUAUCUCUUUCCUUUCUACUCCCCCUCUUUCACCAUCUCUCCCUUCCCUUUUUCUUCCACUCAGCAAUUGCUGAGCUCUCUUCUGAUACUUCCCUCCAUCCCACUCUUACCUUUUUUUUUUUUUUUUUUAAGUAGGCUUCACACCCAGCGUGGCGUGCAACAUGGGCUUGAACUCACGAAUCUGAAAUCAAGACCAGAGCUGAGAUCAAGAAUUGGACACUCAAUCAACUGAGCCACUCAGAGAGAGGCAGAGCAUGAACGGUGGAGGAGCAGAGAGAGAGGGAGACACAGAAUCGGAAGCAGGCUCCAGGCUCCGAGCCAUCAGCCCAGAGCCUGACGCGGGGCUCGAACUCACGGACCGCGAGAUCGUGACCUGGCUGAAGUCGGACGCUCAACCAACUGCGCCACCCAGGCGCCCCUAAGGAAGAUUUAUCUAUUCUCCCCAAUUUAUUUAUUUAUUCAGUCAUUUAUUUACAUCA